rnacentral:rRNA from 1 species
UACGUAGGCAGCAAGCGUUGUUCGGAAUUACUGGGCGUAAAGAGUGUGUAGGCGGUGCUUCUAAGUUUGGUGUGAAUCUCCCGGCUUAACUGGGAGGGUGCGCUAUAGACUGUGGGACUAGAGUGUGGGAGAGGAAAGUGGAAUUCUGGUGUAGCGGUGAAAUGCGUAGAUAUCAGGAGGAACACCGGUGGUGUAAACGGCUUUCUGGACCAUAACUGACGCUGAGGCACGAAAGCGUGGGUAGCAAACAGG